rnacentral:rRNA from 1 species
GUAGGUGGCAAGCGUUGUCCGGAAUUAUUGGGCGUAAAGCGCGCGCAGGCGGUUCUUUAAGUCUGAUGUGAAAGCCCACGGCUCAACCGUGGAGGGUCAUUGGAAACUGGAGAACUUGAGUACAGAAGAGGAAAGCGGAAUUCCACGUGUAGCGGUGAAAUGCGUAGAGAUGUGGAGGAACACCAGUGGCGAAGGCGGCUUUCUGGUCUGUAACUGACGCUGAGGCGCGAAAGCGUGGGGAGCAAACAGGGAUUAGAUACCCUGGUAGUCCACGCCGUAAACGAUGAGUGCUAAGUGUUAGGGGGUUUCCGCCCCCUUAGUGCUGCAGCUAACGCAUUAAGCACUCCGCCUGGGGGGUACGGCCGCAAGGCUG